rnacentral:lncRNA from 1 species
CCUCCUAAGAAGAAAUCUACAAAAACCUCUCUCGCAAUAGUUGCGCGCUGACGGCGGAAGAAAAAGGAUGUUUUUGCUCGACUCCAAGUUUUUUGCCAUAGGGAUACGAAGACAGCCAAUGGAAGAAUCGCGCUCAGGGAUGAGAACAAUGGCGGAAUUUGAACGGAUGGAUAUAAACGCGCAUAUAUAUUUGAAAUACAAACACAAAAAA